rnacentral:rRNA from 1 species
UACGAAGGGGGCUAGCGUUGCUCGGAAUCACUGGGCGUAAAGGGUGCGUAGGCGGGUCUUUAAGUCAGGGGUGAAAUCCUGGAGCUCAACUCCAGAACUGCCUUUGAUACUGAAGAUCUUGAGUGCGGGAGAGGUGAGUGGAACUGCGAGUGUAGAGGUGAAAUUCGUAGAUAUUCGCAAAGAACACCAGUGGCGAAGGCGGCUCACUGGUCCGGAUCUGACGCUGAGGCGCGAAAGCGUGGGAGCAACAGG